UACGGGGGGGGCAAGCGUUGUUCGGAAUUACUGGGCGUAAAGGGCUUGUAGGUGGCCAACUAAGUCAGACGUGAAAUCCCUCGGCUUAACCGGGGAACUGCGUCUGAUACUGGAUGGCUUGAGUGUGGGAGAGGGAUGCGGAAUUCCAGGUGUAGCGGUGAAAUGCGUAGAGAUCGGGAAGAACACCCGUGGCGAAGGCGGUGUGCUGGGUUGCAACUGACGCUGAGAUGCGAAAGUGUGGGGAGCAAACGGG
rnacentral:rRNA from 1 species